rnacentral:rRNA from 1 species
AGAACGAACGCUGGCGGCGUGGAUAAGACAUGCAAGUCGAACGGGGCAUCGUGAGUAGCAAUACAAGCGGUGUUCAGUGGCGAACGGGUGCGUAACACGUGGAUACAUUCCGGGAAGCGGGGGAUAGCCCAGGGAAACUUGGAUUAAUACCGCAUGUGAUCGAGAGAUCAAAGACGGGGACCGCAAGGCCUGUCACUUCCCGAUUGGUCCGCGGCCUAUCAGCUAGUUGGCGGGGUAAAGGCCCACCAAGGCUACGACGGGUAGCUGGUCUUAGAGGACGACCAGCCACACUGGAACUGAGACACGGUCCAGACACCUACGGGUGGCAGCAGUCGAGAAUCUUCACAAUGGGGGCAACCCUGACUGGAGCGACGCCGCGUCGGAGGAUAAGGUCUUCGGAUUGGUAAACUCCUAGUCAUGCGCGAACAAGGCCGCGGGUUAAAUAACCCCGUUGCCGGAUUGAGUGGUAGCGCAAGAGGAAGAGGACGCUAAACUCGUAGUCG